CGAUAUUUAAUACCAUACCAUGUUUUAGAUUUCUGCGACAUCUUGCAUGUUGUUGUAUCCAAUGUGUUGGGAUCUGUGUUCCAGGGCUUAUGUGUGUGGUUUAGUUAAGUUUGCUGGUUAUUAAGCAAAAAGGAAUCGAAUUUCAUUUUUAAAAUUAUGAUUAUGGCGAACGAACUCUUUCAUCAUCGCUCAUAGGAUAUUUGGAAUAUGCCCUAUAACUGCAGACUCCAAUAUUGCAAAAAGCACCUGCAAUACAGUGGAAUAACAUAUUGGUGUGCUGAAGAAAA